CAAACGGUGAUGGAAGUCGCUCCUUCGCGUGUCUUUGGCGCGUCGACCUUUGAACCCUCUUCAAACAUCCGGCGCGGAUCCUCAAGGACGGCACGUGGUCGCGACGCCCACGCAAUCUCCAAACUCUGGCGCCGCACGUACAUGUUGCCGUGGCCCCGGUGAGACAUUGGGACAGGAAACCUACUUCUGGAGCAGCCCUGGAGGACAGGUGUGUGCUGAGCCGCAGGGAGCGACCCGGCGAUUCCCUCCAGCCGCUGAGCCGGGCUUUGAGAGCCACUAAGCAGGUUUCAAGGGCUCUCAUUACCAACACCUUCAUGUAAAGCUGUUCACCGCCGCCUCAAGCCGUCGGCAGAAGAACCCUAAAUUGAGUGCUACAGCGCAGAUGAUGGAUGGCCUUGUCUGGGAUACAGAUGGCUCCUGCAGGGGGGGGGUCCCGCUCCCUUUGGGACGAGUCAGCUGGGCCGGAGACCACAUGUUGACAGCCAGAACCUAGUUGCCGUGUAACACGAGGCCCCAACGAACAGCUCGGAGACCAUGCGUGUCUCUGAGAUGUUGUACCAGCGCCACACAAUCAAUAAAGCAGCCAAGUGGAACACUAACAGCGUCAACGUGCAUUUUAUCCCUCCUCGUCUGUGCAUAGUCAUGUGCAAUUUAAGCCUCCCCCUGGAAAUACUGUACAUUCUCUAAUGCCAUCCCUCAUCUCAAAACUGCUGUGCCAUAACAAUAACAAUGCUACAUCAAUAUAAAAUAAAGUGGAGUAACGUUAGCGAUGGGAAAUGUAAAAAAAAAGAAUAAAAACAAUACAAAUGGUUCGUGAAUAUCUGACAUCAAAACAUGAA